UCUGUAGAUGGUGAUUAACAAUGACCAUAGGUUAGAGGCCAAAUGUGCCUAUAACUAAAAAUCUUAUCUUUAGAUAGAUAGAUAGAUAGAUAGAUAGAUAGAUAGAUAGAUAGAUAGAUAGAUAGAUAUACGGACAGACAUAUAAAUAGAUACUAGAUACAUCAAUAGUAGAUUUUUCAUUAAAAAGAUAUAAUACAUAGAAACUAAUACAUAAAUAAAAAGAAUUUUUAAUAAAAAUAAAUAGAUAGCUAGAUAGGUAGUAGGUGGAUAUAUAGAUAAAUAGAGAUGUAGUAGAUGAUGUGGCUGUGUACAAACUGGACAUUUUCAUAUUUAUGAUUUUAUUUAGCAUAGGAUAUAGAUUGAGAUAGCAACAAAGCAGCAAUAAGAUAUUACCUCCGUCCCAAAAAAAAUGUAACCAUCACAUACCGAGCAGUCAGAGAUUCCUAAUUUUCACCAAAUAUAUAAAUAAAAAAUAUUAAUUUUUAUCGUUUGAUUAACCAUGAAAUAUAUUUUCAUAAUAAAAUUAAUUAGUAGGAGACCCAAUUGUAGAUAACAUAUUCUAUAAACUGUCAAACGUAAAGAUCUUUUGACUUCUCGGAAAACAAGAUUUACAAAAAAAAAAAUCAACGGAGGG
rnacentral:lncRNA from 1 species